CCGGCGGCGGCCAGGGGCCUCCCCGGGAUUAGCGCAGGGUGGGCGCGCACCGCGGGCCGCCAUUUCUUGGCGCCUCGGCGUCUGGUGGGGAGCCGCCCCCUCCUCAGCCUCGCUGCAGACCGCUGCCCUCAGGUUGCCGGAGAGCCACGUCCCUUUCGCUGUCCCGCCAUCGGCUCCCAGCCCAGUGACAAAAAUGCUGAGCUUCCUGCGUAGAACUCUUGGGCGCAGGUCUAUGCGUAAACAUGCUGAGAAGGAACGGCUCCGAGAGGCACAAAGAGCAGCCACACACAUUCCUGCAGCUGGAGAUUCAAAGUCCAUCAUCACCUGUCGGGUGUCCCUUCUGGAUGGUACAGAUGUUAGUGUGGACUUGCCGAAAAAAGCCAAAGGACAAGAGCUGUUUGACCAGAUUAUGUAUCACUUGGACCUGAUUGAAAGUGACUAUUUUGGUCUGAGAUUUAUGGAUUCCGCCCAAGUAGCACAUUGGUUGGAUGGUACAAAAAGCAUCAAAAAACAAGUCAAAAUUGGUUCACCUUAUUGUCUGCAUCUUCGAGUUAAGUUUUAUUCCUCGGAACCAAAUAAUCUUCGUGAAGAAUUAACUCGGUAUUUAUUUGUUCUUCAGUUAAAACAAGAUAUUCUCAGUGGAAAAUUAGAGUGUCCCUUCGAAACAGCAGUGCAGUUGGCAGCUUAUAAUCUUCAAGCUGAACUUGGUGAUUAUGAUCUUGCUGAACAUAGUCCUGAACUUGUCUCUGAGUUCAGAUUUGUGCCUACUCAGACUGAAGAGAUGGAGCUGGCUAUUUUUGAAAAAUGGAAGGAAUACAGAGGACAGACACCGGCACAAGCUGAAACCAAUUAUCUGAAUAAAGCCAAAUGGCUUGAGAUGUAUGGAGUUGAUAUGCAUGUGGUUAAAGCUAGAGAUGGAAAUGACUAUAGUUUGGGACUUACCCCAACAGGAGUCCUCGUUUUUGAAGGAGAGACCAAAAUCGGCUUAUUUUUUUGGCCCAAGAUAACCAGAUUGGAUUUUAAGAAGAAUAAAUUAACACUGGUGGUUGUAGAAGAUGAUGAUGAGGGCAAAGAACAGGAGCACACAUUUGUUUUUAGACUGGAUCAUCCAAAAGCAUGCAAGCAUUUAUGGAAAUGUGCUGUGGAACAUCAUGCCUUCUUCCGCCUCCGAGGACCUGUCCAAAAGAGUUCUCAUCGCUCUGGAUUUAUUCGACUAGGAUCACGGUUCAGAUAUAGUGGGAAAACUGAGUAUCAGACCACAAAAACUAAUAAAGCAAGGAGAUCAACAUCCUUUGAAAGAAGACCAAGCAAACGAUAUUCUCGACGAACUUUACAAAUGAAAGCGAGUACCACAAAACCUGAAGAACUAAGUGUUCACAAUAGUGUUUCAACUCAGAGUACUAACUCCCAACAGGCUUGGGGUGUACAGUCUUCUCCACCUGUGAUUCCUUCCACAUUUUCUGCUCCGGUGCUGGUAGAGAUAGAGAAUCUUCCACAGAGUUCUGGAACAGACCAACACAACAGGAAAUGCUUGCCUCUGAGUAUUGAUUUGCUCAAUAGUCCAGACUUGUUAAAAACAACUGUUGGUGAUAUAGUUGGGGCAUCAGAUACUGUGGAAACAACCCCAGCACUGGAUGAUAUUAACAAAGCCUCCAGACCAGCUGGAUUAGAGGAACCUGAAAUGGAGUGUCAAACAUUGAAAGAUGCCACAGAGAAACUCAAACAGAUUGAGGUGGAGAAUAAUUCUCUGUCAUCCCCACCAUCAAACACUGAUGUUAACAUCAACAGUCAGGAAGAAGUGGUGAAGUUGACUGAGAAAUGUCUCAAUAAUGCCAUUGAGAGCCCAGGACCAAAUGCCAUAAGGUUUCCUACUGACUUCAAGAGUAACAUUUUAAAGGCUCAAGUAGAAUCUGUGCAGAAGGUUACAAGAGAAGAUAGCUUAAGUCAUAAAAAUGCCAGUGUUCAGGAUACUACCACAAUCAGUGCUGUAUUAAAUGAGAAUAAUGUGCCCCUCUGCCAAGAUUCUCAUGCUGUGCUACAUACCACAGCUGCAGACAAUGGUUCUAUUCUAAAGGAUGCUACAGAUGAAUUGGAUGCCUUACUCCUGUCUCUAACUGAGAAUCUAAUUGACCCCACAGUCACACCUCAGGUGUCCUCAGCAUCCAUGAUCACACCCCGUUGGAUUAUUCCAAGCAGUGCCUUUUCGAAUGGGCUUACAGGAUGUGGAUCAUCUUUGGAAGGGACAGAGGGACAUGGUAAUAAAGACAGAAUCUCCAUGAUCUCUACCCCAGCACCAUUCUUGGUAGACGCUGUAACCAGCUCUGCUCCAAGUUUGGCAAGAGACCCUGUUUUGAAGCAGAAGUGUUUACUGACCACUGAGCUCUAAGGGGCUGCCUUUCCCCCAACACUUGUAACUGGAAUGCUCAGCACUCUCCAGCAACCGUCCUGGAAUAUUUUUGAGCUGGAAUGUGUUGGACUCUGGAGCUUGUCCUGUACUUUUAGGUAAAAGUGCUCUACCUGGAUUUGACUUUAGCUCCAUUUAAAAAAAGAAACUAAAAUUUCCGUCCGACUGGAAGUUUAAUCACACUACAAUCUGCUCAACGGAGGGUAUCUGGUCCUUUACUUUCUCAAUUAUUAGAGUCUUCAAAUUCCUGAAUCAAGGCAGUUCCCUGCUGUUUCCUCCAACCUCUUGGCUCCACCUAGCGGUUAUGUGUUCAUAGUGACUUCACAGCAAGGCAACUCGGGUUAGCUACAUCCCUUUGAUUACUAUGUGUUCCUGAUCUGAAUGCCUAAGAAAUGGCACUUUCCCAUACAUUAUCUGGGAAAAAUCAGGAAGGUGUGGUAGAUAGUAUGUUGGUAGAUUUGGGGCAGCUGUGUGUGUGUGUGUGUGCCAGCCUGGG